AUGCCGCGACCGAAGAAGAGGGCGACGAUAGCCAAACGUCUUUAUGCUCAGAGAUGUGCAAAUACAGAGGUUACGCUGAAUCCUCUUAAAAAAAAUGAUGCAUUGUUGUCACCAAAAGCUGGCAGCAUUGAAAACCCUUGCAAACUCGCAUCAGUAAAUGCAUCAGUAAACCUUGCAAACUUGCAUCUGUCACCUAAGCAAACCCUUGAAAACCCUUGCAAACCCUUGAAAACCCUUGAAAACCCUUGCAAACCCUUGAAAACCCUUGAAAACCCUUGCAAACCCUUGAAAACCCUUGAAAACCCUUGCAAACCUUUGAAAACCCUUGAAAACCCUUGCAAACCCUUGAAAACCCUUGAAAACCCUUGCAAACCCUUGAAAACCCUUGAAAACUCAGAAAAAAAAGAAAAAGUGCUUACAAAUAUACAUGAAAUUUCUGUGAAUACUUUACCUGCAUAUUGUGAUUUUCCACAGCAAUCAGUGCAGAAAGGUUCUCUUGGUCAAGCAGUUGGCAGCAGUUUUCCACGGUCUUCCGGUAAAGCCCUUUACAGUGAAGUUGUAAAACGCCCUUCCAAGGUAUGUGAAUCAGUCAAGACUGAGGUAAGGACAUGUGAUUUUCAAGUAGACUCAGGCAAGCUCGGUCGACCCCAGAUGAGGUACCCAAUGAAAAGCAAAUCAAAACCCAUGCAAUCUGAACAAAACAUUCCUGCAAUUUGCCAUGAAAGUGCUUUGGGUGUUUGUUCUGAUUUUCCCCAGAAAUCCAUGCUAAGAGGAUCUUUUGAUCAAGCUGAUGCCCGCUUUGGAGAUUCACGCAACAGGCAGUGUGGAGCAAUCAGUCUGACGGCGGUGUUGAAAAGCAAGCUGAAGAAUGUGCUGACGUGGUCAACACCAGAUCUGGACGGUGUCUUGGUUGCAGGAACACGCCUCUAUGAGUAUCUGAGAAAACGGGGUAACAUAAAAGACCGGGAAGCGAAGGGUAGGAAUUAUAUUGCAGUCCAUGAAUUACCAAGGCGACAUGUGUUGGGUAAUACUACAUUUUCCAUCGAGUACACUCCAUCUCUGACUGGUUUUGUUAAUGUCAAUGAGUACCACGAGUAUGACCAAGCCAUAAGCAGUGUAGCCAUGCCACUUGAUGUAGCCCUUCAGCAAACUCUACUUAGUGCUGAUGCUUUCUUGUUAACCAUUUGUGCCAACACAUCUGCAGUUAUUAAGCAGGGGUCAUGGUAUGCAGUCGUUGACUCUCAUGCCAUCAGGACAGACACAAGUUGUGUAGUUUAUCACAGUACCAUAGAGUCUCUGUACAACUAUAUCAAUGACAUGGCACAGUUGUUUGGGGAACCUGAGCCACCAUUUGAGAUAACUGGAGUUUUGGUUCAUGCAGAUGCAGAAGUGUCUGAUCCGCUGCAAGAAGCAGGCAGCAGCAGUUUACCAUGCUCUUCCGGUAAAGCCCUCUACAGUGACGUCUUAAAACGCACACCAAAGGUACGUGAAUCUGUGAAGACUGAGCCAAAGACCCCUGAUUAUCCGGUACCUGUGGAUGAAGCUGCAGAUGUGAGAAACCCUAACCUUCCAACACAGACAGCCUCUAAUGUGUUGCCAAGUAAAGGUAAAAGAUUGAGGAAAGAAAAGCACAUUGAGCUGUCAGGUAAACAAGGUACAAAAUCACACACUGAAACCGUUGUAACCGAUGACCUGAUGAUCACUGAUGUUUCUGUUCCAGAUGUCUUUUUUUCUCCUUUAACAUAUAAUGACAAGCAAGCUUUAUGUGAGCUCAUACAAAUGUCCAAUGAUAACAGUGAUCAUAAUGUCAUAAACUUUGGUCCCAUUUCAGGUCCGUGUCAGACAAAGACCAUUAAACCAGAUGGUAACUGCUUUUUCAGAUCGUUGGCACAUGUGAUAUGUGGAAGUGAGGAGAAACACUUGAAGGUUCGCCGUGCAGUUGUGAAACAUCUGAAGAUGAAUACUCCGCUGUUUGAGAGGUACGUGAGAAGUGAGUAUUCUUCAGCAGAGGAUUAUCUGACACAAUCUAGAAUGUUUUAUUCUGGCUCAUGGGUAACCGAAAUUGACAUAUUUGUUGCGGCCGAUCUUUUCAAAACCACCAUAAUGACUUUUAAUGACGGCCGAUGGAAUGCGCACAAACCUACAGGAGAGGUAUCCACUCAGAAUGCAAUCUAUCUGAAACACUGUAACCGUAAUCAUUAUGAAGUCGUGACAUGUGUUAAGCACAGGGAUCGAGAUGCUGUUUGUGCAGGAGCAUGUGGAAAUGUGGUGUCAAAUGAGGUCAGCAAACCAUGUCUGCGUAAGAGAAAGGUAAGCGACGCUGCAGAAUGUUGUCCCACCAAAAGGCAUCGGGAGAGAUAUCGCAAUGUCAGUGAGUACAGACAAAAACAAUUGAAGUACAAGAAGUCAAAGUAUGGUAACGACCCAGAAUACAGACAGAACAAAAUUGAGCAUGCCAAAGCUAAAUAUUGUGAUGAUGCCAUUUACAGGGGGAAAAAAAUUGAAUAUGCCAAAACAAAAUAUUCUGACUCAGUUUACAGGGGGGAAAAAAUUGAAUAUGCCAAAACAAAAUAUUCUGAUGACACAGUUUACAGGGGAAAAAAAAUUGAAUAUGACAAAACUAAAUAUAGUACAGAUAGAUAUUACAGAGAGAAAAAAAAGGGAAUUCUUUGUGACCAAUAUCUAAAAAAUGUUGAUGUUCGUAAAUCAAAGUGUGAGCGUUCUAAGGCCAAGUACUUGAGCAAUUUUCAGUUCCAAAAACGUGUUUGCCAGUAUUCUCGAUUGAAAUAUAAAUAUAAUGUCUCUUUUCAGGCAAAUGUAUGUGAGUAUUCAAAGAAAAAAUAUCUGCAAAACCUGGCCUUCAAAGCAAGAGUGUGUGAGUAUUCAAAGAGUAGAAACAUUCAGUAUCCAGCCUUCAAAGUUAAAAUGGCUAAGUAUUCCAAAAUGAAAUACCAUAAAGAUCUGACCUUUCGUGUGAGUAAAAUACAAAAAGGUUGUGAAAGGUAUGCAAGAAAGAAGGAACAACAAGACAUUGAUGUUGCUAUUGAUCAUUUUAGACAAGACAUUAGUAGUGGUCCAGAGUUUGUGUGCUGUGUCUGUCACCGUUUACUUUUCAGAAAGCAGGUUGUUGAAUGUAGAAGACAAUGCUAUGAAGACAAAGGUGUUAAAGUUGCUGCUUUGGGGAGAAGAUGCAUCACAACCAGGUAUGUUCAUGUCUGUGAUCAAAAGUGUGAAGGAUCUUCUGCUCAUUCCUCAGGGUGCAAAUUAUGGAUUUGCCUAACGUGUCAUCGAAAAAUCCUUUGUGGACAACUGCCCGAAGAGAGCGUUGCUAACAACAUGCAUUUGGUGGACGUUCCAAAUCAACUGAAAUGUCUCAACUCCUUGGAACAACAUCUCAUUGCACGUAACAUUCCUUUUAUGAAAUUACUGUGCCUUCCUCGUGGUAAACAACAUGGAUGCCAUGGCCCUGUAGUUUGUGUCCCAGUUAAUGUCACAGGUGUGUCCAAUAUCCUUCCACGAAAUGAAUGUGACGACAAGAUGAUAAGGAUAAAACUGAAACGCAAGUUAACCUACAAAGGGCAUUAUGAGUAUAAGUAUGUACACACUGAUCGUGUUCGAAAUGCUCUGAAAUAUUUAAUCCAGUUCAAUAAGUGGUUCAGUGAUGUGGAGAUUAAUCAGCAGUGGAUCAACUCUUUGAACGAACCAGAAGAAAAUGUAGUAGAUGAAAUGGAGCAACAAGACAUAGUUGAAAAGAUUGACGAAAAUGACCUUGAUGAACAGCAAGAGGAAGACCUUACCUACAUCAAAGAGCAAAGUGGUCUUUUGUCAGAUACGUCAUUGCAACCUGUGGACAUCGGUUCAGAAGUAAUUGAUCAGCAUUUCCAGGAUGUAUUAAAUCUGGCACCUGCUGAAGGUAACAGUCCUGUUAGUUUGUUAUCCGAUAGGUCUAACGAAGCAAAAUGUUUCCCUGUUCUGUAUCCAACUGGUGGUCCGACAUUUCAUGAUAAGAGGGAUGUAAAAAUAACACUGUCGAGAUACUUGAAUGCAAGAAUCCUCAAUGCGGAUGGACGUUUUGCACGAAGCACAGACUUCAUUUUCUAUGCACAGUAUCUGUCGGAGAUUGAUCAAGUUGUAUCCAAUGUUUCAAUUGCUUUGCGCAAAGGAUCUGAGAAGAGUUUGUUGACUGAAGUGACAUCAGAUGUACUAACAAACCCGGACUCGUUAUCUAAAAUCUUGAAUUUUGAUGAAGGAUACAAGUUUUUGAGACCAAUCCGUGGAACACCUCCAUAUUGGCAGUCUACUCAAAAGGACCUUUUUGCACUUGUAAGACAGCUAGGUAUUCCAACUUUCUUUGCAUCCUUUAGUUCUGCGGAUCUCAGAUGGCCAGAAAUGAUUAGUACCAUAAUCAAACAAGAAGGGAAAAAUGUGAAAGCAGAUGAACUUGACUGGUCUGAAAAAUGUGGAUUGAUCAGACGAAACCCAGUGACUGCUGCAAGAAUGUUUGAUCAUAGGUGGCAUUGUUUUCUGAGAGAUGUAAUCAUGUCUUCAGCUCAACCGAUCGGCAAGAUAGUAGAUUACUUUUAUCGUGUAGAGUUUCAACAGCGUGGAUCUCCUCAUGUUCACUGUCUGUUUUGGGUUGAAAAUGCCCCAACGUUAAAUGAAGACAAUGAAGAAAACGAUGGUUUGGUUGCUAGUUUCAUUGAUCGGUACAUCACCUGUGAGACCCCAAGCGAGGAUGAAACUGAUCUGUUUGAGAUUGUCAACGGUGUUCAGAAGCACAGUGUCAGACAUUCAAAGACAUGUCGUAAGAAAAAGACAGUUUGCAGAUUUAAUUUUCCACGACCCCCAUCAAGUCGUACCUUUAUUACAAGAGGUGGUAGUCGAGACGAUUUGAAAAGCGGUGAUGGAAAAGAUACUGCACGUACAGUUUUAGAAAAAGUGAAAAAGGCUUUAACAGCUUCUGAUAUGGAUUAUGACUCUACUGAUGCAUUUUUUGAAUCCAUUGGUAUUAACCAAGCUCUCUUUGAGAAAGUGUAUGCACAGUGUUCCAAAAAGAAAUCCGUUGUCCUUAAAAGAAGUCCAAAAGACGUCUGGGUGAACCAGUAUAAUAAACAUUUACUGCGUGCCUGGCAAGGCAACAUGGAUAUCCAGUACGUCACUGAUGCUUACUCCGUAGUGGUUUACAUUAUCAGUUACAUCACAAAAGCAGAACAAGAAAUGGGAUUGUUGCUGCAACGUGCGCAAAACGAAGCCAUGAAUGGAAACCUUGAAGCGAGAUCAUCACUGAAGAUGCUUGGUAGUGUAUAUCUUCACAACAGAGAAGUUUCUGCUCAAGAGGCUGUGUAUCGUCUGACUGGUAUGCACUUGAAGGAAUGUUCUCGUAAAGUCCAGUUUAUUCCAAUUGGAUUGAAUCCUGUAAAGAUGAGUUUGCCUCUUCGUGUCAUCAAAAACAAAGUUGAUCAGUCUGGUGAAGAAGCUAGCUUUUGGAUGACUAGUCUGGUUGACCGAUACAAGAAUAGGCCAAACACGGAAGAGUUUGAGACCCAAUGUCUUGCAAGUUUUUGCUCUGAAAACAGGAUCUUGUCAAAAUCGGAGGUUUCUUCACAAAAAAAGUCUUCUGAAGACAAGGUGAUCAAGCUUAACAACGACUGUGGUUAUAUGAUGAAGAGAACUCGAACUGACCCUGCUGUUGUUCGAUAUCCGAGAUUUUCUCCCAAAAAAGAUCCAGAAAAGUACUUUCAUUCAUUGUUGCAACUUUUCUUGCCACAUUAUGAAGAUUGUCAGCUGAAGCCUGAGAGUUUUAGCACUUAUGAGGAAUUCUACAACAGUGGUGCUGUGAAAUGUGGGAGAAAUGUGACUCAAGUCAAAUGUAUUGUUGAUGCUAAUCGAGCACUCUUUGAAAAGGAAAGUGACAAAAUUGAUCGAGCUCAACAGCUUUUGGAGCAAGGUGUUGAUUUGGAAGAUGCUUGGGCUGCGUUAUGUCCUGAAACUGAAAAGGAACAUCACGAGUGCUUAGAAAUAAGGAAGAGUAAUACAAUUCCUGAUGAAGAUGAUUCUGAGUGUUCUAUUCCAGAUCUUGUAGCGAACCCUCGAACUCCAUACAGUAUUGAAACCAAUCAGGCUGGAAUGUCUAGAGAAGAGGCAUUAUGUUUACUGCGAUCAUUAAAUGCACAACAAUCUGCAAUCUUUUACAAAGUGCGGAAAUGGUGUUUAGAGAAACUUCUUGGUGAAAACCCUGAACCAUUUCACUUGUUUGUCACUGGUGGAGCAGGCACAGGCAAGAGUCAUUUAAUCAAAGCAAUCUACUAUGAAUCUUCCAGACUUUUAUCUCAGCUGUCCGAAAACCCUGAUGAUAGAAGUGUGAUUUUAACUGCGUCAACCGGAGUGGCCAGUUUUCAAAUUGGUGCUUCAACAAUCCAUAAUACCUUUUCCAUAGGUGCCAAUGUCAAACUGCCAUAUCAGCCCCUAAGUGAUGACAAAAUCAAUUCACUGCGUGCAAAACUGGGAGGUUUGCAGAUUCUGAUCAUUGAUGAGGUGUCUAUGGUUGACCAUCACCUUUUGUCUUAUGUUCAUGGUAGAUUGAGACAAAUUAAGCAAACUGGUGACUACUCAAUUUUUGGAAGAGUCAGUUUGGUCUGUGUUGGUGAUUUUUAUCAGCUACCGCCAGUCAAGGGAAUUCCCCUGUACGUUGAUCCAAAAGGAGUGAAUCUUUGGGAUACCAACUUUGAAAUUGCUGAACUAACACAAGUUGUCAGGCAACAAGAUGCAUCUUUUGCUGAAAUGUUAAAUCGUCUGAGAGUUCAUAAAAAGAACGAAACUCUAAGCCCAAAUGACAUCAACAUGUUGAAGCAACGUGAAACUGGUGAAGAAUGCGAUGCUAUUCAUAUAUUCCCUACAAAUGCUCAGGUUGAUGAGUACAAUAUACAGAAACUUAAUGAGCGUUGUCCUGAGGCAAUCACUAUUCACGCUAGAGACUUUGCCAGAAAUCCAGAAACUGGAAGAAUAGAAAGGAAGGUUGGAUUUCAUGCAAAAGUUUUCAACUCUUGUUUGGACAAAUGUGUUUCCUUGGGUGUUGGUGCCAGAGUAAUGCUUAGGAAAAAUGUUGAUGUUUCUGAUGGACUUGUCAAUGGAGCCUGUGGCACAGUUGUCCACAUAAGCAGAAAACAAAGACGUGAUGAUGAUGAUGAAGAUGAUGACUUUCCAUCAGCUAUCCAUGUUGAAUUUGAUGAUCCAAAUGUUGGUAAAGUUCAGAGAUCGAAGCUGCGACAGAAAUAUUCUCCAAAUUCAACUGUUAUUGAAGUGGAAGAAGAUCAAGUCUCAAACGAUGGUGGUUUAAGACGUCAGUUUCCACUUAAAUUGGCAUGGGCAUGCACAGUUCAUAAAGUGCAAGGACUCACAGUAGAUAAAGCGGUCGUCUCACUUGACAAGGUAUUUUCUCCGGGACAAGCAUACGUUGCACUGAGUCGUGUGAGAACCCUCGACGGACUAAUAAUUAAUAACUUCAAAGACUCGGUCAUAUAUUGUAAUGAGAAAAUUGACUCAGCUAUGAAAAACAUGCCCCGACUUGCUUUAGAAAAUUACAGUUUUGUAAAGACACCUGGCGUGUUUACAAUUGCUCUUCAUAAUGUACAAAGUCUUCGAGCUCAUGUUCAGGAUCUUCAAGUUCACAGACAGAUAAUGAAUGCAGAUUGCAUCUGUUUAACGGAAACGUGGCUAAAAGUUGAAGACCAAGUACAGAUUCCAGGAUUUGUUUUUAAGAGCAAUCCAAGAGCUAAAUGUUAUGACAACAGUAUUCCACUUUUCACUGAUUUAAAACAACAAAGAGGAGGUGGAGUUGGACUAUUCUGUUGUGAAAGCAUUCAUUUUAAUGUCAGGGUUCCAGAACCUUGUAACUUGGAAUGUAUAUACUUUGCAGUUCCACAUCUAAGUUUGAAUGCUGCUUUGCUGUACAGACCUAAUUCAUAUCCCCUUAAUCUGUUUCAACAAAAUAUGUUGCAUGUUUUUGAUGAGCUGGAGAAACAGUCAGGAAAGAAAGUGAUUAUGGGAGACUUCAAUGAAGACAUCUUGACAUCAUCUACAAUUGGUACACUAAUGGAACUACAUGGAUACAGUCAACAUGUGCAACACCCUACCACUGAAAAAGGUACACUGAUAGACCAUGUCUAUGUUAAAGAUGCAGAAAAUUUCUCUGUUGAAAUUGUGCAAACUUAUUACAGUUACCACCAAGCAGUCCUUAUUUCACUGAGGUAAAAAUUAAUGUGUGUGAUUAUGUAAUGAAAUCUGUAUAACCUGCAUUAUUUGUUUCUUGUCUGUGCUCUUACUUGUUCAAUGUUCAUCCUGAGCUUUCAACUGGCAUACAACUGCAGGGCAAGUGUACAACUGGAGACGGUAUGUUCUAAGUCUAUCUAUAUCUAAAUGAAUAACUCUUAUAAUGAUCCAUCAGUUGAAUAUGUACAGCUGUUCCAUGUUAUGAUUGAAGUAUUAUCUGAAGGUAAUCCAUUUUAUCAAUGCAACACUCUGAAAUGAGAAUUGUAUCACUGUAUUGUCUGUUCUGUUUUUGUGUCCAUACGAUAUGAGCGCUAUCCUGAGAUUCCAACAUGGUCCGAGUCCAGUUAAUCCAGCCUGUAAUUCAAACAAGUGAUCAUCAUUUUCAACCCAACAUCUCCCAUAAUUGCUCUUCUUUCUUGAGCUAGUAAGCUUCACCCAGCCAAGUCAUUCUAAGCCAUCCAAAUCAUAAUGGAUGCUUCCAAACAUUAUAGGAAGCAUCCACAAAGACUGCCUGCAUCCAUCCAUUUGUCUCCUAAUAUCACAAUUAAGUCAAUGGAACAACACAAAAUUGGUUUGUGCAUCAAGUCUCACUAACUACUGUCAAAGAUUUCUGCAAUAUGUUAAACUUCAAACUUCCGCCUUAUCCAUUAUGAUUCUCCACUCCAUGAACUGUGUUUAUGAAGAAGCACACAACCAAUCAAAAGGUUUGUGCAUCAAAACCCAAUAUCUCCUGUCCACUACUCCCAAAAGAUUUCUGCAAUUUACUACACAUCAAACUUCCUUGUCCAAUAUGACUCUCCACCCAAUGAACUGUUUUUAUGAAGAGGCACACAACCAAUCAAAAGGUUUGUGCAAUACGUUACACUUCAAACUUCCACCUUAUCCAUUAUGAUUCUCCGCUCCACAAACUGUUUUUAUGAAGAGGCACACAACCAAUCAAAAGGUUUGUGCAAUACGUUACACUUCAAACUUCCAUCUUAUCCACUACGAUUCUCCACCCCAUGAACUGUUUUUAUGAAGAGGCACACAACCAAUCAAAAGGUUUGUGCAAUACGUUACACUUCAAACUUCCAUCUUAUCCACUAUGAUUCUCCGCUCCAUGAACUGUUUUUAUGAAGAGGCACACAACCAAUCAAAAGGUUUGUGCAAUAUGUUACACUUCAAACUUCCACCUUAUCCAUUAUGAUACUCCGCUCCAUGAACUGUUUUUAUGAAGAGGCACACAACCAAUCAAAAGGUUUGUGCAAUACGUUACACUUCAAACUUCCAUCUUAUCCACUAUGAUUCUCCACCCCAUGAACUGUUUUUAUGAAGAGGCACACAACCAAUCAAAAGGUUUGUGCAUGAAAACCCAAUAUCUACGGUCCACUACUCCAAAAAGAUUUCUGCAAUGUUACACUUCAAACUUCCGCCUUAUCCAUUAUGAUUGUCCGCUCCAUGAACUGUUUUUAUGAAGAGGCACACAACCAAUCAAAAGGUUUGUGCAAUACGUUACACUUCAAACUUCCGCCUUAUCCAUUAUGAUUCUCCGCUCCACGAACUGUUUUUAUGAAGAGGCACAAAACCAAUACAACGGUACAUUGAAUUUGAAUACAAAAUCAUUGUUCAAGUAUCUUCAGAAAAUGUCCCGGCAAAACUCUAAACCGAUGCAGGCAGUCAAUAGUCAAAGAUAUCACAAAUGCAUAACCACAAAAGUAACACAAUUCUAUAUGAAAUGUUGGAUGGAUGGCUUGUAUUAUAUUUGGCCUAUGUACAGCAAACUUAGAUGCCAGCCAAAGGAGGAUGGCUUGCCCCUGCUGAGUCUGGUUCCUCCCAAGGUUUCUCCCUAUACCUCUCUGCUGAUGAUCCUCUUCACUAAUUUAGGGAGUUUUUCCUUGCCACUGUUGCCUUCUGGCUUGCUCACUGGGGUUUUAAGGCACAAUAUUUUCAAUGUAAAUUGUUUGUAAAGAACAAUAAAUACAUGAUGAAUUAGAA